ensembl:lncRNA LINC00205 long intergenic non-protein coding RNA 205
CGUCUCCCUCUCCAGUGAUAGCGUCAGCGGAAAUGCAGACGGGGACGGGGCUGCUGGGUUUCCUCCCUGGAAUGAAGCACAGCCGGAGGUUUUGCUGAUUCACCAGCAGGCCCUGACCGCUGAGUUCAGGUUGUCACAUCAUUUAUUGAAAAAGGAAUCUUUUCUCCACCGACUGACAUGAAAUGCUACCAUCAUCGUAAAUAAAAUUCCCGUAAAUACUUGCUGUCUCUGCUGUCUCAGUCCUGACUCACGGGCUGAGUUCUCUUUCUGCACAGUAGCACUGGCAUUAACUGUGACAGCUUUACAGCAGGCUCCCUCCCCGAGGCCGUUCAGAAGCAUUCCUCAGCGGGUCCUACACGUUUCCUCUCCCAUGUCAAGUUUAGAAGCAGUGUCAAGACCCACAGCAGUCCUGCGGGAGUUUUAAGGGAUGCACGGAGUUUAUGGGGACAGUUUGGAAAAUUGACAUUCAUGUGACUUAGAGUCCUACUACUUGAAAAUGGAUUCCAGCUCUCAACGAAUUUAGAGCUUUGGCAAAAUUUUUAAGAUUUCUUUGAUGUCCGAUGUGCUCAUUUCUUGGUUUGUUCUUGAGUAUUUUGUGGAUUUUUAUGAAAUCCACAAAGUUUUUGUUAUAAUGAAUGGGACACUUUCCCAUAAAAUGUUGUAAUUCUGUAUUGCUGUUUUAGUAAACACUGUUGAUUGAUGUAUAUUGAUGUUACACUUGGUCACUUGUAAUAGUUUGUCCGUUCAUUAUUUUGAACUUUUUAGGUAAACAGUCAUAUAAUUAUGCAAAUAAUUAUAGUUGUGUCUCUGCCUUUCUAAUAUUUAUACUUUGUGUAUAUUAUCAUGUUGGCCAGGACUCAAGCGUCUUUCUCUUGUUUCUGACUAAUGCGAAUGAUUCUAAUGCAGGGGUUUCCAAACUGGUGGCCGGGGGGCCAAAUCCAGCCAAUGGUCUCUUCUUGUAAAUAAAGUUUUAUUGGAACACAGUUACACACAUUUUUCUACAUAUUGUCUGAUGGCUACUGUCACGCCACAGCAAUGCUGUUAAAUAGUCCAGACAGAGGCGGUAUUGCCCGAAAAACCUAGAAUAUUCACCAUCUGAGCUUUUACGGGAAAAUUUGCUAAUAUCUGUUCUCAUGCAUUAAAUACAAUGUUUGUUACAGGUUAAGGAAGUUUCUGACUAUUUUUAGCUUUCUGAAUAUCUUGUGGUUGUGUGUGCUUUAAAAUUAGGACUAAAUAUUAAAUUUACCAGUUGCUUGUUAGGGGCCUAUCUUUUGAGAUGCCCAAAGUUUCCCUUUUUUAGUCUCUUCAUGUAGUGAGUUGUACUAACAGAUUCUCUAAUGUUGAACCGUCUUUGCUUUCCGGAGAUAGACUUUACUUGCUCCUGGUGGAUUGGAUUCUGUUUGUUAAUACUUUUAUUUUUGGGUAAUUACAUCCCUAUUAUAAAUAAUAUGUCAGCA